rnacentral:rRNA from 1 species
AUUGAACGCUGGCGGCAGGCCUAACACAUGCAAGUCGAACGAGUGGCGGACGGGUGAGUAAUGUCUGGGAAACUGCCCGCUGGAGGGGGAUAACUCCGGGAAACGGUAGCUAAUACCGCAUACCAUCAGAUGUGCCCAGAUGGCAGUAGCUUGUAGGUGGGGUAACGGCUCACCGAGGCGACGACCCCUAGCUGGUCUGAGAGGAUGACCAGCCACCAUGGAACUGAGACACGGUCCAGACGCCUACGUGAGGCAGCAGUGGGGAAUAUUGCACAAUGGGCGCAAGCCUGAUGCAGCCAUGCCGCGUGUAUGAAGAAGGCCUUCGGGUUGUAAAGUACUUUCAGCGGGGAGGCGUUACCCGCAGAAGAAGCACCGGCUAACUCCGUGCCAGCAGCCGCGGUAAUUC